CUUCCGUUUUUCUUCGAGACCCCAUCGACCUUUCCACAGUCCACGACGCUCUUCGCCAGCAGGACUCUGCGAAGGUUUCAAGUUGUGAUGCACAUGCUUAUGUGUACAAUAUUGUCGCCAAGCAACGCGAGUGGACGGCCGCCGAUCAAUAUUCCCUCGAAUGACGGGUUUUUUAAACAUGAUGAUCAUUGAAGGAACAGGAAUGGGCGAUGAAUGACAAUAAAAGCGAGGCAAUCAUCGUGUAAAUUAAUAAAGCUAAUUUUAUUAGAACAUCAUCAUCGAAGUGUUAGUCAAAUAAAUAAAUUACAUCAAGUUUAUGCUAGAUGCCUGAUCCAUACGUUUUCAAAUCGUCGAGCAGGAAGUUGUCACUGGUAAUUCCGGUUUCUAUACUACACAGUGUUCGAAUAUGUGUAUAUUCGUAGUAUAUUUAUAGAAAAUUUAUGGAUAUGCUGUAUUUCUUCAAGUUCGUUGAUCGUAUGUGUAUACAAUAAUCCUACUACUGGAAUUUUACGUAAUAAUAUUGUCUGAUCGAUAUUUUGUAUCAGCAGCGCAUCAGAACGGAAAAACCGAAAUCUAGUUUUCUCAAAUCCAACUGCUCUGCCUACGCACAUAACAACGAACAGCAAAGAAAUUUAAAUUACGUUUAGCGAUAAUACAGUGCAGUCUAAUAUUUACACCUUUUCUUA